rnacentral:lncRNA from 1 species
UAUCUUCAGUGUUUGCUCUCCACACUCUCCCCUAAUCGACUAUUGCAAAAUAUAUUUUUCGAUCACAACACUGUGGAAACCGCCAUCUUCGAUCUUUUACAAUUACCGAUCAUCACCGAUUACGCCUAUUCCCAAGCGUCACUCCAAACUCGUUUUUAAAUGUCUGUUGACAGAAGCAUUAGGUGGUUCUGAUUACGGUAGGAUUUCAAUUGUGUGAGCCGACCAUAAACACCAACACCCAACCGAAAUAAUACCUUGAAGAGCCUCUCUUGCCUUCUUCUCCAGCCCAGCAAACUCGUGAAUCGACAUCAGAUCCUUAAUGGAGAAAGCGAAAAUCGGACUGAUCUUACACCAUUGACUGAUUAGCAACCAAAUGUUAGAGGCCACGGAACACGAACAGAAAAGAUGAACAGCCGACUCAUCGCCUUCAUGCGUCACUCUGAUACAUUAUUUGCUUUACUUUGAUUCUACCUAUUUGAUUAGUGGUUGUUGGAUAUGAAAGUGGGAUGCUUAACUUGCUUUGUUUGAUUAUUCAAGGACAAAUAGCCUGCUUCUAAAAUGAAUAGCAGGGAAUUUAUAUGGUUCCGGUUGCACGUAUGAGUUGAAGAUGUCAAUUUGGGUUGCAAGUAUGAAGACACUUGUUCGGGAAGCUAUUGUAUAUCACUUUCAUCUAUAGAAAUACAUGCAUUUUUGUUACUUUGAAACUUUUGUAAUUUUGUUUUACUUUCAAGUCUUUGUAAUUCGUAUUCUUGGGUUAUUCUAUAUUGGUUUUAAUUUAAUUAUGUUUU